GGGGAUCUAGCUCAUCGGUAGAGCGCUCGCUUAGCAUGCGCGAGGUGCAGGGUUCGACUCCCUGGUUCUCCA
rnacentral:tRNA from 1 species